rnacentral:rRNA from 1 species
CUACGGGUCGCAGCAGUGGGGAAUAUUGGACAAUGGGCGAAAGCCUGAUCCAGCCAUGCCGCGUGAGUGAUGAAGGCCUUAGGGUUGUAAAGCUCUUUCGCCCGUGAAGAUAAUGACUGUAGCGGGUAAAGAAGCCCCGGCUAACUUCGUGCCAGCAGCCGCGGUAAUACGAAGGGGGCUAGCGUUGUUCGGAAUUACUGGGCGUAAAGCGCGCGUAGGCGGGCUAUUAAGUCAGGGGUGAAAUCCCGGGGCUCAACCUCGGAAUUGCCUCUGAUACUGGUAGUCUAGAGUCCGUGAGAGGUGAGUGGAACUCCGAGUGUAGAGGUGAAAUUCGUAGAUAUUCGGAAGAACACCAGUGGCGAAGGCGGCUCACUGGCACGGUACUGACGCUGAGGUGCGAAAGCGUGGGGAGCAAACAGGAUUAGAUACCCCGGUAGUC